GGGGUUGUAGCUCAGAGGUAGAGUGUUUGCUUGGCAUGUGAAAAGCCCGAAAUUCAAUCCUCCGCAACUCCA
rfam:Daphnia magna strain Xinb3 scaffold03020, whole genome shotgun sequence.